AGUGAACGUUGGCGGCGUGGAUUAGGCAUGCAAGUCGAGCGAGAACCGUAGCAAUACGGGGACAGCGGCGAAAGGGACAGUAAUGUGUAGGUACCUACCUCCGGGUUCGGGAUAGCUGCGGGAAACUGCAGGUAAUACAGAAUAACGUCUCCGGACCAAAGGUGUGAUUCCACCUGGAGAGGGGCCUGCAUCCUAUUAGCUUGUUGGCGGGGUAACGGCCCACCAAGGCGACGAUGGGUAGCGGGUGUGAGAGCACGACCCGCGUCAUUGGGACUGAGACCCUGCCCAGCAACCUACGGGUGGCUGCAGUCGUGAAUCUUCGGCAAUGGGCGCAAGCCUGACCGAGCGACGCGGCGUGCGGGAUGAAGGCCUUCGGGUUGUAAACCGCUGUCGUAGAGGAGGAAAUGCAGGGGGGUUCUCCCCUCUGUUUGACCUAUUCUAGGAGGAAGUACGGGCUAAGUUCGUGCCAGCCGCCGCCGUAA
rnacentral:rRNA from 1 species